AUAAUACUUGAUUGGGGGGGGGGGACCAUAAUAAUUUAUUGAAAUAUAAAAUGUAAUCUACCUCUCACCCCCAUAUACUUUCUGUACAGGAGGGAAGGUGACGAGGUCCGCGCGUGUGCCGAUGGGCGGCUGGGCAGAAGAGUCUCACCAAUCGGCACCACGCCGCCACGAGUCACUACCGGAGGAGAGCUCUGAGGACGAGAUGCCACCGCACGUACACAAGGUUUGUUGACUACAUCAGAUCACCCAAUGAAUUUCUUCCCUUCAAAGAGACUUCAAAACCCCAUCUUUCUCUUUGGACCUUUUUCCUGGACUGAUGCAAAGAAUAAUGUAUUAGAAUGGAACCUGAAUUGAUUUUGAGGUUUUACAUUGGUCAUUAGAAUGAUCAUGGGGGCCUGAAUAACUGAAUAAUAAUGUUCCUGUGAUUGUAAUAUUUGUUUUUGAGACACUAAAGCCAAAUUAUGUUAUUUUAAAGAAUGACUACACACUACUCACAAAGAGUUGAAGACUCAGCUUUUAGAUAUGAUUUCAGGAUGAACCCAAAAUGCACUAUAACCUCUACAAACAAACUGAAUUUGACUUUUAUGCACGUGUCCAACUGUUGAGUGUUUCAGUGAUUUUUCAAAUCUGUUGCUGGACAAGGAGCAAUUUGCAACAGGUUGUUUGAUCUAUGAAUGGACCCAUACGUUGGUUACAUGGUUCAAUAAGAAUUGGUUUUUAAAUUGGCCUCUUCGUCAUUGACGUUAUGAGACCACCGUGACGCCUGACAAUGAAUUUGUUUUGUGAGUAUGGACAUGUAUGUACCGUAUACCAUUACAAUGUGCGCCGACUCGAGCUUGCAGAUUGAGCACUACUCAACACCAUGCACACUUUGCAUUAAAUAGUUCUGUGCUUAUUUAAAAAAAUAAAGGGGUGGGUUAUGCGCACUUGCUCUGAAAAAAAAAACAUCUAGGUUUUUGCAGCAACCGUCGUGAACGUUGCAAAAAUACUCAAGUGAAGCCUCCUCGCCCUUGAAGGCUAGACCAGAGAAGAGCUGUUAGUCCAUUACAGUAGAAGCGCCAUGACUCGAAAUGUGAUCGAUUCACAAUUCUUGAUGCACUUUAAUAACUUGGUGUAGCUUCACUUAGGUUCUUUGCAUGUGUCGCCUGAACGUUUACGUUUUUAAGGGUUUUGUUAAAUUUUGAUUCACGAAAGGGAUGUGCCAUAAAGUUGACUGUAAAUCGAGUGAAAUGCUAAUGGUUUAAGUGUAUAUUUUUGUUGUUCAUCGAUAUUGUAAAACGCAGAUUUGUACAGAAGUAAAUUCAGCCAUUAAAAUAACGUAAUCGAA